rnacentral:rRNA from 1 species
UGGGGAAUUUUGGACAAUGGGCGAAAGCCUGAUCCAGCAAUGCCGCGUGUGUGAAGAAGGCCUUCGGGUUGUAAAGCACUUUUGUCCGGAAAGAAAUCCUUGGCUCUAAUACAGUCGGGGGAUGACGGUACCGGAAGAAUAAGCACCGGCUAACUACGUGCCAGCAGCCGCGGUAAUACGUAGGGUGCAAGCGUUAAUCGGAAUUACUGGGCGUAAAGCGUGCGCAGGCGGUUUGCUAAGACCGAUGUGAAAUCCCCGGGCUCAACCUGGGAACUGCAUUGGUGGCUGGCAGGCUAGAGUAUGGCAGAGGGGGGUAGAAUUCCACGUGUAGCAGUGAAAUGCGUAGAGAUGUGGAGGAAUACCGAUGGCGAAGGCAGCCCCCUGGGCCAAUACUGACGCUCAUGCACGAAAAGCGUGGGGAGCAAAACAGGAUUAGAUACCCUGGUAGUCCACGCCCUAAACGAUGUCAAACUAGUUGUUGGGGAUUCAUUUUCCUUAGUAACGUAGCUAACGCGUGAAGUUGACCGCCUGGGGAGUACGGUCGCAAGAUUAAAAACUCAAAAUGAAAUUGACGGGGUCAUAGCUGUUUCCUG